CACAAGGGGGCACAAGCCAGUGUCUUAUUGUGCCGGUCCCAAGCCCGGAUAAAUACAGAGGGUUGUGUCAGGAAGGGCAUCCGAUGUAAAACUUGCCAAAUCAAAAAUGCAAAUUGAAUCUGAAAUCUCUGUGCAUUCCCAGAUCAAAGCCUAUUGUAUUGGUGGAAGCUACAGUGUCUUUCAGCCCAAGUCAAAUCCCUACUCAAAAAGGAGACUGCUCACAACCAUUGAGGACCAAAGCUGAAAUCUGUUUUACCAUGACCAAACGCUCUUCAGUAGACCAAGCAAGCGCAAGGAUCAACUGUAAUUUUACACUGGAUUCCACCCGCAAGGCCCCAAACAACCGAGCUUACAUCAGUGAGAAACAACGUAUGACAAACAAAUCAGUUGACCUUGACUUACGACAGCCAAAGUGCUUUGAUGUGAACUUCUUUGUUGAGCCUUGUCCUGAAGAUGCUCUCAAUGUACUGUCCAAUGAACUCACAUUCACCUUUGAGGGUUUGCCUU